rnacentral:tRNA from 1 species
GGGGUUGUGGCUCAGUGGCAGAGCACUUGCCUUACACACAGUGAAGUACUGGAUUCGAUCCUCAGCACCACA